rnacentral:rRNA from 1 species
UUGCUGUCCUUCCGAAGCGCCUGAGUAACAGCGAGUCAUGCUGUGAGCGUGUGUGUACUUUGUUCACACGCCGUGUUUGCCCAUGUGUGUUUGUCGUGGAAGCCGUGUGCUCUUUAUGUGUUGUGGUGCGCGUGUGCGUUUCCCACAUAUCGCGCACAAUCCCGAAAAUAACACCGACGCAUGCGUACUUGUGUGUGUGCCGGUGAGUAUUUUGCUCUUCCCCCAAAAUGGUUGUGCGGGGUGGGGUUAGGGUAUAUGUGUAGUUUGCGUGCUUAGUUUGACGCGGUCACGAAUGUAACGCGCAGUGGUGAGGGUGUGGUGUGUGCGGCGCUGAGUGCUGUUCGCGGAACUCGUUUCGUGUUCGCCUUUUUGUGCCUAUGUGUAUCCACCGCGUUGUGAUCUGCUGGUUGAUGUGGGAAGCGGUGCUCGAUGAUGCCGCGCUUGGAGGAAUCUCUCCCUCUCACCUUUUGGGUGUCAGGAUCACAAAAAAAUUGAGGUCACCAUAGAAAAACAACAGCCAUUACCGCCACCAGCGCGAUGCGCGUGCGAGAGUGGAGUGUAGAUUCUUUCUUUCUCGCUUUUCUCACGUGCGUGUAUUCUUGCGCAUGCUGUUCGCGCACGCGCUGUGUGUGAGGUGUGUAGGGUGUGUGUGGUGUUGUGUAGUUAUGUAAUAAUUGCGUGUAGAUGUGUGUGCACACACCGCUACCGCCGUUCACCACCCAACCUGGAGUGAGUGACGUUAUUGUGUAUUGCAUUGUGAGAGGGCCGCGUGUAUGUGUGGUGUGUGUGUCGUGUCUCCUCGGUGUGGUAUGUAUGUGUUCAUAGUAUACACCCCGUGCGAGAACACCCACUCCUCCUCCAUGCCGUGGUGUGCCCCCACGUGCGAUCUGGUUGAUUCUGCCAGUAGUCAUAUGCUUGUUUCAAGGACUUAGCCAUGCAUGCCUCAGAAUCACUGCAUUGCAGGAAUCUGCGCAUGGCUCAUUACAUCAGACGUAAUCUGCCGCCAAAAUCUUGCGGUCUCCGCAUUAUUGGAUAACUUGGCGAAACGCCAAGCUAAUACAUGAACCAAA